GACGAACGCUGGCGGCGUGGAUUAGGCAUGCAAGUCGAACGGUAUCAUCCUUUCGGGGGUGAGAGAGUGGCGAACUGGUGAGUAACACGUAGGUUAUCUACCCUCAAGACGGGGACAACCCAGGGAAACUUGGGCUAAUACCGGAUGUGAGCAACUUUUAGUUGUUUGAAAGGUGGCGUAAGCUGUCGCUUGGGGAUGAGCCUGCGUCCUAUUAGUUAGUUGGUGAGGUAACGGCUCACCUAGGCAAUGAUAGGUAGGCGGCCUUAACGGGUGGUCGCCCACACUGGGAUUGAGAUACGGCCCAGACUCCCACGGGAGGCAGCAGUCGAGAAUAGUCUACAAUGGUCGGAAGACUGAUAGUGCGACGCCGCGUGAACGAUGAAUCCCUUCGGGGUGUAAAGUUCUUUUAUAUGUGAGCAGUGCUUCUUAUAUUAACAGUAUGGGGAAGAGAUAUUAGCAUAUGAAUAAGCAACGGCUAACUCCGUGCCAGCAGCCGCGGUAAUA
rnacentral:rRNA from 1 species